rnacentral:rRNA from 1 species
UACAGAGGGUGCGAGCGUUGUUCGGAAUUAUUGGGCGUAAAGCGCGUGUAGGCGGCGAUUUAAGUCGGGUGUGAAAUCCCUCAGCUUAACUGAGGAAGUGCGCCCGAGACUGAAUGGCUUGAGUGCCGAAGAGGGUGGCGGAAUUCCCCAAGUAGAGGUGAAAUUCGUAGAGAUGGGGAGGAACACCGGAGGCGAAGGCGGCCACCUGGGAGGUAACUGACGCUGAGACGCGAAAGCGUGGGUAGCAAACAGG